GUGUCAGCCGCCGCGGUAAUACGAAGGGGGCUAGCGUUGUUCGGAAUUACUGGGCGUAAAGGGCGCGUAGGCGGUUUGAAUCGUCGGAUGUGAAAGGCCUGGGCUCAACCUGGGAACGGCAUCCGAUACGGUCAGACUUGAGUGUGGGAGAGGUUGGUGGAAUUCCCAGUGUAGAGGUGAAAUUCGUAGAUAUUGGGAAGAACACCGGUGGCGAAGGCGGCCAACUGGACCACAACUGACGCUGAGGCGCGAAAGCGUGGGGAGCAAACAGGAUUAGAUACCCCUGUAGUCC
rnacentral:rRNA from 1 species